rnacentral:tRNA from 1 species
UAGAAGGUGGUGUAGCAGAAGCACCAAGAGUUUUGAUCUCUUGAGGAGGGGUUCGAGUCCCCUUCUUCUAA